UUACUGGGAAAAUUCACUGAGGAAGGGAAAAAGGGAAAAGGAAAAUUAGUCAGUAUGCCCUUAGAGGAUGGAAAAUUAAGGAGUUUCUCUGUAGCUUAAGUUAAUAAACAGAGUUCAAACCACCUGCAUUAAGAUCCAGGUCUUAAGAAAAAGCAUAUGUGGAGGAGGAAUUUGAGUGACCAGGAUUUCUCUCAAGGGAGCUGUGGUUGACAGGUUGAGUAGUGAGCUCUCUGCUGUUGGAGUAUGAACAAAGGUGUAUUCAGGUGGGGGCGACUGCACCUUUUCAACCCUUGACAUAAAGUGUAGGGAACACUACCAGCCCAAACAGCUCUCAUUUGCUUGCUUUGGUCAUAUUUACCAAAUGCUUAUUUCUAUUUGUGUGUAUGUGUUUGUUCCACCAAUGUCAUCUGUACUACCAACCAGACUGAUCUUCUUCUGGGUGUAUUUGUGUGUUCCAAGGAUCAUGGCCACCCCCACCCCCACCCCCACCGCUCAACCCUAUAGUCACCAUCGUUAGUUAGCCCUUAAUAUCCUCUCACCUUCUCUGACUCAGGGCACCUUCCUACCCGAUACCCUUGAAAUUGUCACCUUUAGAGGGUGGUUUCUCUGGGCUAAAGGCAUUGAAUCUGGUUUCCAAUAUCAACUCCCAGUGACGGCUCCUAUGUCUCUUCCCAGCUUGUCACAUCUGUAAAUCAGCUCACUGGGUAUCUCAGAUCUGGGGACAGAGGGAGUGGGUGGGGGAGAACGGGGAAUCUGGAAUUGUUGCUAUGAAAAGUGCAGGGCUCAGGAGGCAGGACGUGCUGUGUGGUGGGCACAGGAGCCCCUGCCCAGGCGCCCCGAGGCUUCAUUUAAGACGGGGAAUAGAGUGUUCAAACCCAUCGGAGAAAUGGACAGUUUGAAUCAGCAACAAAGCGUUGGGUUUUGAAGCGUGGGUCAGCAGCUGUAAACGAGCGUGCCCCACACCCUCGCACGCAAGCGCGGCGAUGAGAGCACAGCUUCACGCUGAAAACACAAUAAGCUUCCCUGUAAAAGCAGCACCUUUGGGAGUUUCACUUGUCCUUUUGCCUUUUACUGAAAGAAGCCAUGAGGAGCAGCCAAAGCAGAUUGUCUUGGCAUCUUCCCCCAAACCUGACUAAUAUUAGGGAGGAUAUUGUCUGUCAUAAUUCCUCACAUCCAGGGUGCUGAGAUGCCUACCCCAGGAAGGUUGGUGUACAAGACUGUUACCUGCCUCAACCAGUCCGAAGCUUAUGGAACGGUUUGGAAUCCAGAGCAGCACCAGGCCAGAAGACUUGAUCCUCCUGUCUAUCACCCUGACUGACCACCAUCGAUAGUUAUGAAGACGUAUCAAUGGCUCCCAACAAAUAUAGACUGUAGGAAAGACAGUAGAGUAUGAUGUUGGCAAAGCAAGGUGUCUUCUGCUUAGCCUUGAAAGCAGCUAUAAAAACAACCCUGGCAACUCAAGACUGAAAUGUUUCAAAUGGAGUAGGUCAUGGACAUGUGAUGAGCCUCUUGCUGGUAAUAAUUUUCUGUUGGCUUCUGAGGGAGAGACCCAUAAACAUGGUUAAAAUUACUUUUUGGUUAUGGUUUAUGUGUGAAAGUCACAAAACUGAUUGCACUUUUGGCCAUUCUGUGGGACAGGAAGUUAAACACAAUAUUUGGAUUGUUAAAAAAUUCAGUAAGUAAUUGGAGUUCACUUAUAUAUGAUAAAAUCUGUCAAUAAGCACUAAACUUGCCAUCAAGAGAAUUUUUUUUGCAAAGUUUGGGGGAGGGGCCGAGGGAAAAGGAGAGGGAAAAUCUUAAGCAUUUUCCAUGCCCAUUGCAUGAGCCCAAUGUGGGGCUCAAUCUCACAGCCGUGAGAUUAUGACCUGAGCUGAAAUCAAGAGUUGGAUGCUUAACUGAUUGAGCCACUCAGGUGCCCCACUAUCAAGAGAAUUUUCAACGUGAAUUUCCAACUAUAAGCUGCCUAUAAAAUAAAGAUCACAUGGUAUUGAUUCAUUAAAGCCAGAAAUUGGCCACAAGAGCUCUCCGUGUGAUGGACACUAAGCAGGAAUUGUGAUUUAGAUGCUUCCAUUUGAUGGUGAGUCUCAGUUUUUGAAAUAUUUGAAACUGAGAACUUUUAAAUAAAAAAAUGCAUUCAUUAUAUUCUGUUGACUUCUUCUCUGUCUCUGCCUCAACAAAGGCUCACUAAAAGCAGGCUGAGAAUUUACUUAAUUCAUUUAGUCUGAGACAAUUGAAACUAUAGCUCUAGUUUAAAAUUCCAAGUAUUUGCUAAAAUUCUAUGUUACCUGCAUCAAGUGAAACUUCACUAUAAAAUAUUGAAGAUGGCUUUGGCCCCCUGGCCACCUCACUCACUUAAGGUUCUCUGAGAAAUUCUUUUGCCCUGUCCUUGGACUUCUGUGAUAGCACUUCUGUUAAGCACUACUUCUCAAUCUGUCAUGUGCAUACAAAUUGCCCAGGGACUUUGUUAAAGCACAGAUUCCAAUUUAGGGAGGAGGGGGUAUUUCCAAGAUGCUUUCAGAUUAUCAUGCUAGCCUGUAGAUAUACUUUGAGUACCAAGGCACUAAACUUUGGCCUUUUUUUCUCCACUACUUACUCCACCCAUGGAAGGAAGGGAGAUUUAUCUAAUUGGUGUAGUCAGAAUCUGACAGUUAUCACCCAUGAUCAUCCUAUCGAGAUAUGGGGGCAGAGGCCACUUGUUGCAGGUGGCCGCCUCUUUUGCCCUCUCCCCUUGUAGGUGCCCUGCCAAGAGGGGGGAGUGUCCUCCAUCUGUCGAAGUUCCUGGGAAGUUUCUGCUGGUAGGGCAGAAAAUGUAUAGCAGUGCCUAUCACAGCCUGGUCUGUAAAGUCAGUGUCCUUGGGGAUGCUGUAAGCCUCUUUGGCAAAGGA